UCGAAACCCUCUUCCAUUCGAAGUCUGACGCCCUUGCGUAAAGGACGUGUGUGUGGUGUGCAUUCGGUGUUUCUCAAGUGUGUGCCCCCCUCGAUUCAGGACCCGUCGUCGUAUACGUGGUGUAGUUGUUACGCCCCGGGUUUUUUCGCCAUCCAUUCAACGGCCGUAGAUUUGUCUCCAAGGAGUGUCGACGAGACCAAGAUUAUAGGUCUCCUAAUUCGAAUGAAAAAAAGUUGAAUCCAUAUAGGUGGUGGACGUCGUCUAGAUCUGUAGUGCUACAGUGCAAAUAGGAACAAAUUGUGGCCGCAGACACAAGUGGAACGAUAGUACACCCCCACCGGAAGUAUUAUCCGGAAAGUGUCGGAGAAGAGAUUCCGAGUUGUGUUUCAAGUGUUGCAACAGUUACAGAUGGGAUUUCCGGUGUGAAUGGAUCGUUGGGUCUCGCUGGAAAAGGAGCCCGGUUCUUGAGAGGCAGCAUAGCCGUCUGCCCUAGAAAGUGUGUGCGAGUGGCAGAAGAGCGUUCCGGAAACCUGUGCCUGUGAAAUUCCCGGUGUGAGUGUGCGUACCUACGAUUCCUACCGAAAGCGCCAAGCCAAGUAGAUUCUGCGGCAGAGUUGCAGUGAGACAGGAUUCCGAGAAUCAGAAAAACCCACAGUUCGAGUUGAGUGAUCAAAUUUGCUAGUACCGGAACAGUGUCCCCCGGGAGCAGCAUCCAAAAUGACGAAGGACAGAUUAGCAGCGUUACAAGCGGAUAUAGCGGCACAGAGUGACGAUGAGGACAUGCCGGAAGAUGUGGCCGUCCCGGUGGAGGGCAGCUUUAUGGAGGAUUUUUUCAACGAGGUGGAAGAGAUCCGUAUCAUGAUCGACAAAAUCCAGGCGAACGUGGAAGAGGUGAAGAAGAAGCACAGUGCCAUCCUGUCGGCCCCACAGUCAGAUGAGAAAACCAAACAGGAACUCGAAGACCUAAUGGCCGAUAUAAAAAAAACUGCCAACAGAGUAAGAGGGAAGCUCAAGGGUAUCGAACAGAACAUUGAGCAGGAGGAGCAGACGAACAAGUCCAAUGCCGAUCUUAGGAUACGGAAGACACAGCACUCGGCGCUGUCACGCAAAUUCGUCGAGGUGAUGACCGAGUACAACCGGACUCAGACUGACUACCGAGAGCGGUGCAAAGGAAGAAUACAACGACAAUUGGAAAUUACGGGUAGAGCGACGACGAACGAAGAACUGGAGGAGAUGUUGGAACAGGGCAAUUCAGCCGUGUUCACGCAAGGGAUUAUCAUGGAAACCCAACAAGCUAAACAAACGCUAGCCGAUAUCGAAGCACGGCAUGCAGAUAUUAUAAAAUUGGAGAAUUCAAUUAGGGAGCUACACGAUAUGUUCAUGGACAUGGCGAUGCUCGUCGAGAGCCAGGGUGAAAUGAUUGAUCGUAUAGAAUAUCAUGUUGAACACGCAAUGGAUUAUGUCCAAACAGCGACACAAGACACAAAGAAAGCGCUUAAAUAUCAAAGCAAAGCCCGCCGGGUCCUUCCGAGUUUUUCUUCCUCCGAACACGGUCACGUGGUCGCCGCUUCUUCCUCCUCUGCCUCUUCCGGUGCCGGCGGGGCUACCCGUUACUCUAAAUACCCUCCUUCUCCGGUUCCCCGUUUGAACCGGUCCCAAUCCCGUUCCUGCGAAAUCCUCACCACACCCAAAUUCCCACCUCGUCGGAAACUGAAUCUCCUCGCCCCGCCACCAUCAUCUUCGUCGUCCUUAUCGGCUGCUAAAUCGCAAUCGACUGCCGAUUUGCGCCAUCUACAUCCGGCGACGACGGCUUCCGGACCAACGUCGAACGAAAGGGCGAACUGGUGGACCGAAUUGAGUACCACGUUGAGCAAAGCGGGAACUAUGUGGCACAAGGUCAACAGGAACUGGUUCAGGCGAACAAGUACAUGUCCAAAGCAAGAAAGAAGAAGAUCAUGAUCCUGAUAUGUCUCACCGUACUCGGUCUCAUUGCGGCCUCGUACGUCAGUAGCUACUUUAUGUAAACGGUGCCAGCAUCAGCAGCGGCGCAAUAACAACCAACAAGAGCAACAUCAACAACAACAACAACCACUACUACUACAACUACUACUAUUACGACCUGAUCAAAUCCGGGAGGGAAGAAAUUAUUAGAGACGAAGAAUCAAUCUGAAGAAAAACUGUGAAUUCCAGUAGACUACGGUGUAAGACUGUAGCGUAAAAUAACACCAUCACCGACAAAGAUCAUCAGCAAAAUCACCAACAACUAUCAAAAAUACAAAACAAAUCUAUUGCUACGUCAGUGCUGUUGUAGUGCUCCCAACCGGAAGCACAACGAGAUAUAUCAUCAUCAGCAGAAUAGUAUUAUUAAUACGAAAAUAGUAAUCGCUCCGUAUUAGCCAUUAAGCACAGUGUCUCUCAAUCUAUCACUCGUGUGUCUCGGCGAAAGUUGGUCAUAGGGAAGAAACGUCGAAGCGAACAUAUUACUCUUUUGUGAUCCCUCGGUUAAGUCGUUUGUUUUUAUCGCGUCGAUUCCACGAGCUCCAGGCAGCAGAACCAGAGUACGCUGAGAAUGGAACAUCCUCACACCACUAAACCAUGCAAAACAUCACCCCUCACCAACUGUUACCACCACUGCAUUUGUAUAAAAGAACACUACACAACAUUCGAUCGAGCAUUAUCUCCGCCAGGGGUUCUAAACGACAAUGACACUUAACAACACAAUUGAAGUCUGUGAUGGAGAAGUACAACCAAAUGAGACGAUGCACCGUUCCUGCACUACCACGAACAAAAAACCGAAAACAACCACAAAUAGCGCAAGGCACGUGCGUUCACAUCCACAAAGAGGAAGGAAAUUCAAUACACGUGCACUAUCCCCGCAAGAGUAUCCAUCUCCCGUAAUAUCUCUCUUUGUCCUGUGUACGUCUGUAUUCUUCGUAUCUACUGUGUUGCAAGUUACACAAUAUAGAGUUGUCCGGGCACAACCACCAAUACCACCAAACCAAGUCAGCUGACAAAGACCACCCCGCUAGAAGUGUCAGUGUAGAGAAUGUCCCCUCUUGAAACCAUCACCACCACCACCAUCACCAACAAUACUACUACUGCUACUACUACUACUACUUCAUCUACUAUCCUACCGCUAUGUACUGCUACUGGUAGUACUACCAUUACUCGUACUUGAGCAAGUCAAUAUCCCGUGUAAAAUAAUCAGAAGAAGAUCAUUAUCCUGAUAUGUGUGAGCAUCCUUCUGAUAGUGGUUGCGUCAACGAUUACCGGAUAUUUCGGUUUUUAAGCAAACAAAUAAUAAAACAUCGAUCCUAACCUUGGAGUUGGAGAAGAAGAUCAUUAUCCUGAUAUGUGUGAGCAUCCUUCUGAUAGUGGUUGCGUCAACGAUUACCGGAUAUUUCGGUUUUUAAGCAAACAAAUAAUAAAACAUCGAUCCUAACCACUCACACAAAAAAAAUAGCAAAAGCAAAAAGAUUGUAAGAGUUAUGAUUAUUGGUGAUAGAUGCGCCCCCACAUCGAGAGAAUAUCUUCGCUUGUCACAUCAAAUAGUAAAACAAGCGCAGCCAACCGAGGACUGCGUUAUGAUGUAUGCAUUUACAGGAUGGGUUCCCGCAUAGGUCCCAAGCUUUUUUUUCUACUUUCGUUGUGAUUAAGUAGGAACCCCCAUCGUCGGAAGAGUUACGUAUUUUCAUUGUCCAGCAGCAACAAUCGGUUGUCAUCGGAGGCAGACAAGUAGUAGAAGCAGCAACAGUACACUUAGAGCAGCAGCAUAAAAAAAACAAUUCGGGAUUCGCGUUUCUUUGGAAGGCGAGCAAUGCGACAUAUUCACCAGAUGAUUCGUUCUCUGCGUGUUCUUAAUGGUCGGUGUGUGACCCAAUCAUACUUCUUGAAUAUCGUCAAUAACCUGGGCCCUGCAGUCCACCUAAAGCAGAUAGACAGAUCAACUUAUCCAGCGGCUUAAUAACUGCGACUGGUAAACCAAUGAUUACCGAUGAAAAAAGCGAAAUGAAAAUCCAUAAAAUGUGUGCGGAACAUACAGUUGAAACAGAACAAUUCAAACUUAUUAGUGGUGUGGUGCUUUCCAUUCAAGAUCUCAAACAUGCUUAUACAUACCGUGUGGAAAAAGCUUCUAAACACACCCGCUUGUUGAGGGAAAAAUUUCUUUUUUAAGUUUGUCUUUAAGGUUAUAGAAUAAGUUGUUCGCUGCCGAAACGCGACCGUAUGCAUUCCAUUCGAUUCGUCGCGCUAGUUUACCUUUGUUGUUGUUUUGAAAUCUUAGGAACAAUCAUACUCACUGUAUCUAGUCAAACCAGGUGAUGCCCACGAAAGACGACACGCUAUAAUCAAGUCGCUCUUAGUCUAGUUCAAUACCAAAAGUAAGCGCAUACAAACACAAAAUGGGCCCCGAUCGUGGGCGAUGUUAGGUUUUAGUUCGAAUGUGUAAAUACUAUUUAGAGGAAGUUUGACCCUUGAUUUGUUAUAAAUUUGUUUUAGUUAAAGCUAUUCACGCCAUUCGGGAGCUGCAAGCUGAUUUCCGCGGCAGGGUUGUUUAGGUACGCUCGUUCUUAUUCAAAAAAGUUACAACUUUUGCUUGCGAAAUCGGAGUGUUUUUAGGACAACGCCUAUGACAUAUGGAUUGGGCGAUUAGAUAAAAAAUCUUUUAAAAAAAAGGAACAAAGCGGGACAUUGUGUGUGUUGGAAUGUCCCAGUUAGAGACGCCUCCUUAGCAAUAAUUCAAAGAAGGAACACUUCCAAUUGACGUGACAAGCAAGAACAAUUCAUAGACAAACACACACAAACUAGGGAAAGGGUUGUCCGUUGGGUUCGGUUGGCCACCGCCGUUGCGAGAAUCUAUCGAGUGUAUAUAAUGGAGGGUGGGAUCGCCGAAGAUGGUCAGCCGAAACCGGGGAGGACACGUUAUUGAAACCAUGCAAGGACAUUAAGAUUGGCUUAAACAAAACUCUCUAUAUAUGCAAGCAAAAUGUGUGUGGCAAAGCAAAAUUCAAAUCAACAGCGAGCGAGUUCGAGAGGUAGCGAUUGUUUUUUGACGCGCGAGCGUGUGUGUAGAAGCUUACAAGAAGCAGAAAUUAAAAGUGAUGAUUAGGAAACGCGAGAGAGUAUCGGAAGAAAAUCAUGACACGAACAGUAAUAAAAAGAGGAAGAAAAAUUAAAAAAUGUUCAAGAAAAUGUGUGAUAAUAUUUAAAGAAUAAUAAUCUCUAACAUUAAUUUGGGAAAACAAAAAAAAAAAGGAUAUACAAGAGGAAGCCUAUAGAUAUACUACUUACGUACACACUACUACUAUUCACGGGACGAGACGUUCAGACGGGAAGUCAGACGGUGAGCGACUUUUGUACUGCUACGAGGUCUUUUUCUUAGAACUAAUGACAAAAGUUCGAAAGACAAAUGGUCCAAUGAAACUAAACAGAAGACAAGGUCCAAUUUAAUUUUUUUCAUGAUUUUACACGAAAAACUCAAGCAUGGAAUUUUCUAAGAAGAUCACUAAUGCGUUUGCUCUCGCGGGAGAGUUCAUUGAUUGAGAUUUGAGUGUGAGUCUAUCAAUACUGCAAACUAGGUCUUCGACAGAUUACAGUUUAAACGGAACCCGUCAUGGAAAGGCAGAAGAUGCAUUUCUAGCUGGAAAACUCAUUCCUUCCUAGAUAUUAUUUAUUGGACAGAAUUAAUCCUUUAUUCGUCAUGGCCAAAAGCAUUUCAUUAACCAAAACGAUACUAAAGUCUUGUUCUUAUUUAGUAUUGAUCGAACGUGAAGUCUUUUCAUUCAAUACUUUUCAGACAAGAUGGUAUCCCAAAAUGAAACCUUCUAGUUGUAAUCAGACUUGAUAAUACUCCUCAACAUCAUCAGAGUUCGGUAGCAUGAGCAAGAGCAGCGUACAGUCCUUGCCUCUUUGCGAGGGAGCGAAAAAAUACCAAGCAUAGAGGCAACGAAAAAUGAGCGAGGAAGAUGUGACACAUAACACAACGGACGAGAUGAGGAUCUGUGUUGAAAAUUUCGAGUUUAAUUUUUACUCCUCAGAAAAAAAAAGCAGAUUCUGUAAAGCCUGUGGAGAACUCAUCCUUCUUGAAGAAUAUCGUUGGAAAAAAUCAAUAACUUAUUCGUUAUGGCCAAAAGCAAUUCAUAACCAAAAUGAUACUGACGCACUUUUUCGUAUUUAGUAUUGAUCCUACGUGAAGCCAUCAGUGACUGAUCAGAAGAGAUGGCUUCCCAAAAUGUAAACUUCUAGUUGUAAUCAGGCAUGAUAAUACUCCUCAACAUCACCAGAGUUCGGUAGCAUGUUCUAGAGCAGCGUGCUGUCUUUGCCUCUUUGCGAGGGAGCGAAAAGUUAGCAAGCAGAGAGGCAACGAAAAAUGACCGAGGAAGAUAUGACACAAAACACAACGAAGAAAAUUUCAUAAAAAAGAGUGCCAUCACAACUCAGCGAGGUCUGUUUCGGUCGAAAAGGUCACUCAAGAGUUUUAAAGUGUGAGUAAAGGUGAGCUUAGAAGCAAGAGAUAAAGAGUACAAUGCACUCGAAUCGUUUGAAGAUUCGUGCUGUGAGUUUAGAGUUCAAUUUUUACUCCUCAGAAAAACCUCGAAAUCGAUCCAUUUAUGCAUCACAGAACAGUUUCUGUCAAACCUGGUUGUAAUCUGAAAAAGAGACUUCUGUCGUUUCCAACAAAGGACUGAGAAUUGGACUACACGUAAAACACCCGAAUUGACACUGACACGGAUAUUCAUCAUUAUCAACAUCAUUGUCAUUGGCGUAGCCAGAGCGGAUUGUGGUUAACCCCCAAAAAUUCUCACCUCGCUAGGCAGGCACUACGCUAAGCGAGCUGAGUGUGGCAUUUGUGGGGACACAAUCCGGUCUUGGUACGCCAAUGGCUCAUCGCAUGGUAUGGCAUUCUUGUGCACAUACGGACUUAAUAUUUCUGAAUUUUAGGAAUUUAUGUCCUCAUUUGAUGUAUGUGCAUGCACUACGCUCAGCGAACUAAGCGUGACUUUUAGGGGUUCACAAUCCACUCUGGCCACUUCAGAAUUUUGAGAAUUUACGUCUUAAUUAGAUGAAUAUUUUAAAACAAUCCGUUCGGAUUAUGAUACCUGAAAUUAUGAAUCCUAAUACUUAUUAACGGACAUAAGUAUUACUAACAUCGAUUCGUUUUUCGAACGACAUUUACCUUGCUACAGCCGACAAGCUCUGUACUUCGGGAACGGGUUAUUUGGCAUAAAGCCAUUUGGCAUAACGCCUUAUGGAAUAACGGUCAUUUAACGUAAUGACCAUUUGCCAUAAUCAGAAUUGUAGCCCUUCUUUCAACAUAUGGCUGUUUUUUGAUAAAGAAAAAAAUUAUGACUAAUGUUAAUUAUGCCAAAUGUGCUUUAUGUCAAAUGGCGUUAUGCUAAAUGAACUUACGCCAAAAUGCUUUAUGCCAAAUGACCCAGACCCAUGCACAGUGGGUAUUCGCAUAACAUUCACAUGCAUAUAGGAAAUCCCAUAAAACAGGGGAUUGUUAUUCGAAUGUCGGCAGCGCAGAAACUAUGUAAUCGAUAACGGUUUAGGGAAAAAAUGUCGAAAGACAAAACGUCAAAACGGCAUUUUCGUCAAAAUUGAGUUGAGCUCAGUUUUUAACAUCUCUUCCAAUGCUCUUUCAGCUGCACUAAUGAAAUAAUAUGAUUUGUUUGGUAAGAAUAGAAAAAAAAAACAGCAGGUCAAAUUGUCCCAUAAUGAAAAGCAACCGCAUAUCAGUCCACUACAGAUUUUCGCACCGUGAAACACAAACAUGGAGCUUGUUUCGAUCAAUUUUAUAUUUUUCUCGGAAAAAUAUCGUAGUAACGAGCAAGUUGUGAAUGUUUCAUAAAGAUUGGAAGAUGUUCCAAUCCUCUUGAUUUUUUUGAAUAUUCGUAUGGAAACCGAGUUUGAAAACUUUACAGCCCAUUUUCUCAAUGCUCACUUUUCACAGAUGGGACUGACUUGCGAUUCACGGCAGCUUAGAUUCGAUAUAAUCGGAAGGAACCAACCAUGCGUUUUGAAUUCAUCCCUCAAAUACCAGCGACUUUCAUUCAUUCACUCACACACUUAUGCAGACACGCGCAUACUCGACGCGCAAAGCGGGACGACACUCGGAGAAAGACACGAAAUAAAAAAAACAAAACAUGAGAAUCGUACUAUACUGCCCAGAAAACAUUAAACUUACGAAAGUGAGAUUUAAGAAUUUUACAACAAUUCACGAUAAGAUUCUUCAUUAGUAGGAAACCGAGAACAAACAAAAAUAAAAACCAAAAAACGCAAAAAUCGAGCAGAAAUUUGCUAUCCACACUGUACAGUUUACAAAGCUAAUACAAUCGUUUUUGUUGAGGUUAUGACUGUUGCUUGCGUUUUUUUUUUUGGUUAUGAGUUUUCAAACUUCCGUGUGCUAAUGAAAACAUCAAUAACAAGGGAAGAGGAUGAUUUUUCUCCGAUUUCUGGAGCAGCAAAAUCAUCCCAAGAAAACGGGAGACUUGCGAUUAGGUUUGAUUUAAUCUAUUUGUUAAUAAGCAUUGUUUUGUUGACAGGAACAAAAGUGAGUGACAAGUUAUCAUUAUUACAAAGAAAUGCAGUCUAUAUAUGUAGCAUUUGAAAAGUAAUGUCUGAUGAUAAUACAAAAAGGAACUAGCCUAUUAAUUUAUAUUAGUUAUUUAUCUUAAAGACGAAGCAUGUAAGAAAGAGGUGAACAUAACAAUUAAAAUCUUAUAGCCGAAAAACUAGUCAGAUAUAAAAAAGCAACUCACGUAUAGAACAUCUGCAAAUCGCAAAAAAGCAACCAAUUUAAAAUCAGCGAAAGACAAAAUGUAAUUCAAUCUUCUUCCUCUCGUGGACAGCGAAUUAAAAAAAAAUACAAAAAGAUACUUUGCGAAUAAGAUCAAAACACACACACGAAAGUCCUAACAGAAAAUGAAUGCACACAAAAUCAAUAUCACGUCAUCUAGGAGAAAAAAAAAACACAAUUAAAGGCGAUCUGUUGUACAGAAAGUAUUUUUUCUCUAUAUUUCUCUAUAUCAGUUAAUAACUAGUAAGGUUACCAUUAAGAACAAAGUAUUUAAAUAAAAAAAGAGAAUAAUUAAGCUACUUGGAUGGCGAGAAGCAUUGACGAACUGGCCAAUGGUGGCGCUGCAGGCGAGUGCCGUCGCGUACCGCCUUCUACGUUCAAGCACUGUAGAUUGUGAGGAUUUUACCAUCACACACACACCCAAACAGACGCCGCUCGGCUCUCGAAUCAUAACGUUUUCCAUAUCUAUAUUGAAUCGAAAAUUUAAAAAAAGCAAAACCAUUCAUUUUUUAACCCCGUUUGAGGAUUCGAACCGUUUUUACAACUAGAUGGCGCGACAGUGAGUCACAAUCAGCGCCACCUUGGAUGGGUCGGCUAGAGUGGGAGGAUUAGCAAAUCUAUAUAAGCGCAGCAGCAGCAGCAGCAUCAUUGUGAGAUAUAAAAAGCAAACAAACAAAAAUCGACACGUGUUAAUUUUAAUUUUUCCUCCUAACCCUUUCUCUUGUAUUAGAUAAGGCAUUUAUUUUUUCUUGAAAUCUUGAUGUUGAUGAACAAAACUUAAAAAAAAAAUAUUGCAAAACGAAAGCGAAGCAACCGUUGCUAUAUAUUGGGAGGAAACGGCGGGAAAGCGUUUGACAGAAGUAUAAAUAAACAGAACAUGUUUAGAGAAGGAUCGUGUAUAUUGUUACAUUUAAUCGUAAGUCCAUUUUGAAGUUACUGACAAGUUAAUGAAGAAUCUCUCUCAAAAUAGUGUUGAAAGAAUCGUAGGAAAAUCAUUCAUCUCUAUCUACACACGCAGUGGAAGGAAUACAAUAAAAAUAUCAGUUAGCCCUCCCUCGGUUUGACAGCUGUUUAUACAGGCCAACACAUACACAGACACACCACCUACACACAAUCCCAUACACUGACAUCACUACACACUGAAAAUAAAAUUCAAACAUAGCCACAAACACACUUUCAACUCCACACAUACACACACGAACAUAGAAACGAGAUGAUGUAUUAACAAUAACCUAUAACAGUGGAAAACAAAUAGCGACUAACGAAGAAAAAUCAAGAUGAAAAAUGGACAAUUGAAAAUUGGUUUUCAUGUUAUUUAAUAAAAAAACGAAACAAGUUAAUAAGAUUAAAGGAGAAUCAAGUGAUGGCUUUCAAAAUUAUAUAAAAGAAAAAUCUAAAAAAAAUAAAUAAAGUUAAUAAAAGCUAACAAUUUUCGCCUUUUGCAUUUAAAGAACACACACAUACACACACUCUUACAAAACGAACAUACAACACACAUACAAGAAAACAUCAAUGCUAGCCAACAACCAGUGAUUAGGAAAAAAGCAACAAUACUAAAUUACACUUCUCUCUGUUUCUGUCUCUCUGAAGAUAAUAGGAACAAUGUAAAAGAAAACACUCUAACACGUACACAAAACAAGUCACAAAAAACAUAAAUGAUAAAACAAACGGAAAGACUUUGAAAAUUUUACCGCACUCGUAGGAAACGACACCGUUCAAUUUCUUCCUGGUAGAUAUCCCUGUCUCAAAGGCAACGCAAAUAUGCUACACUCACAAACAUUGAUCAAUCAAACACACGCAGAAGGAACGUGUGCGUGCGAAUCAAUCGAAUCGCCCAACUUUGUGCGACCCCACCGGUCACGUCUCGAGACUACCACACCUCUUUACUACAACUACUGAUAAAACAAGAAAACUUUCUUUCCCGACUCACACAAAUCAACACAAACACACACGCAUUUCGAUUGACGAAUGUAGGAGAACUCUUUUCGUUCUGCCCGACUCCCUCUGGUAUCUUCACUUCAAGGAAUAGAACAAAACACUCAACUCUAGAACAAGAAUUACAACAACUCGGGGGAGACUUGUAGUACCCGAAAGUUAAAACCAAAAAAAAACAACACAAACCAACCAAGAAGCAAAGCAAAUGCAAACAAAGUGAGAGUAACCGUGUGUAAAACUUGUCAAUUUUUCGCAUAAAGAAAUGAAACAUCUACUAAGAAAAAUCGAAAACCAACAUUUAGGAACAACAGCAAACAACAUCAUCAACAAAACAACAAAGAAAAGACAAACAUAGCUUCAAAGUUUGAAAAACAACGCAGCAUUGUCAGACAAAAGCAAACUUAUCAGAAAAAAAACAGCCACCACCAGAAGUGAUACAGGAAAUAGAAAAAAAAAACUAAACACAAAGGAAAGUGCAAACAUCUUCCUUUCCGACUACAUUCAGUAGCAAUAGCAUGCAAAGUCGAAUCCUGUUCGACGCAUAAC